rnacentral:rRNA from 1 species
GGGUUGUGAGGUUAAGCGACUAAGCGUACACGGUGGAUGCCCUGGCAGUCAGAGGCGAUGAAGGACGUGCUAAUCUGCGAUAAGCGUCGGUAAGGUGAUAUGAACCGUUAUAACCGGCGAUUUCCGAAUGGGGAAACCCAGUGUGAUUCGUCACACUAUCAUUAACUGAAUCCAUAGGUUAAUGAGGCGAACCGGGGGAACUGAAACAUCUAAGUACCCCGAGGAAAAGAAAUCAACCGAGAUUCCCCCAGUAGCGGCGAGCGAACGGGGAGCAGCCCAGAGCCUGAAUCAGUGUGUGUGUUAGUGGAAGCGUCUGGAAAGGCGCGCGAUACAGGGUGACAGCCCCGUACACAAAUGCACAUGCUGUGAGCUCGAUGAGUAGGGCGGGACACGUGGUAUCCUGUCUGAAUAUGGGGGGACCAUCCUCCAAGGCUAAAUACUCCUGACUGACCGAUAGUGAACCAGUACCGUGAGGGAAAGGCGAAAAGAACCCCGGCGAGGGGAGUGAAAAAGAACCUGAAACCGUGUACGUACAAGCAGUGGGAGCACGCUUAGGCGUGUGACUGCGUACCUUUUGUAUAAUGGGUCAGCGACUUAUAUUCUGUAGCAAGGUUAACCGAAUAGGGGAGCCGAAGGGAAACCGAGUCUUAACUGGGCGUUAAGUUGCAGGGUAUAGACCCGAAACCCGGUGAUCUAGCCAUGGGCAGGUUGAAGGUUGGGUAACACUAACUGGAGGACCGAACCGACUAAUGUUGAAAAAUUAGCGGAUGACUUGUGGCUGGGGGUGAAAGGCCAAUCAAACCGGGAGAUAGCUGGUUCUCCCCGAAAGCUAUUUAGGUAGCGCCUCGUGAAUUCAUCUCCGGGGGUAGAGCACUGUUUCGGCAAGGGGGUCAUCCCGACUUACCAACCCGAUGCAAACUGCGAAUACCGGAGAAUGUUAUCACGGGAGACACACGGCGGGUGCUAACGUCCGUCGUGAAGAGGGAAACAACCCAGACCGCCAGCUAAGGUCCCAAAGUCAUGGUUAAGUGGGAAACGAUGUGGGAAGGCCCAGACAGCCAGGAUGUUGGCUUAGAAGCAGCCAUCAUUUAAAGAAAGCGUAAUAGCUCACUGGUCGAGUCGGCCUGCGCGGAAGAUGUAACGGGGCUAAACCAUGCACCGAAGCUGCGGCAGCGACGCUUAUGCGUUGUUGGGUAGGGGAGCGUUCUGUAAGCCUGCGAAGGUGUGCUGUGAGGCAUGCUGGAGGUAUCAGAAGUGCGAAUGCUGACAUAAGUAACGAUAAAGCGGGUGAAAAGCCCGCUCGCCGGAAGACCAAGGGUUCCUGUCCAACGUUAAUCGGGGCAGGGUGAGUCGACCCCUAAGGCGAGGCCGAAAGGCGUAGUCGAUGGGAAACAGGUUAAUAUUCCUGUACUUGGUGUUACUGCGAAGGGGGGACGGAGAAGGCUAUGUUGGCCGGGCGACGGUUGUCCCGGUUUAAGCGUGUAGGCUGGUUUUCCGGGCAAAUCCGGAAAAAUCAAGGCUGAGGCGUGAUGACGAGGCACUACGGUGCUGAAGCAACAAAUGCCCUGCUUCCGUGAAAAAGCCUCUAAGCAUCAGGUAACAUCAAAUCGUACCCCAAACCGACACAGGUGGUCAGGUAGAGAAUACCAAGGCGCUUGAGAGAACUCGGGUGAAGGAACUAGGCAAAAAUGGUGCCGUAACUUCGGGAGAAGGCACGCUGAUAUGUAGGUGAAGUCCCUCGCGGAUGGAGCUGAAAUCAGUCGAAGAUACCAGCUGGCUGCAACUGUUUAUUAAAAACACAGCACUGUGCAAACACGAAAGUGGACGUAUACGGUGUGACGCCUGCCCGGUGCCGGAAGGUUAAUUGAUGGGGUCAGCGCAAGCGAAGCUCUUGAUCGAAGCCCCGGUAAACGGCGGCCGUAACUAUAACGGUCCUAAGGUAGCGAAAUUCCUUGUCGGGUAAGUUCCGACCUGCACGAAUGGCGUAAUGAUGGCCAGGCUGUCUCCACCCGAGACUCAGUGAAAUUGAACUCGCUGUGAAGAUGCAGUGUACCCGCGGCAAGACGGAAAGACCCCGUGAACCUUUACUAUAGCUUGACACUGAACAUUGAGCCUUGAUGUGUAGGAUAGGUGGGAGGCUUUGAAGUGUGGACGCCAGUCUGCAUGGAGCCGACCUUGAAAUACCACCCUUUAAUGUUUGAUGUUCUAACGUGGACCCGUGAUCCGGGUUGCGGACAGUGUCUGGUGGGUAGUUUGACUGGGGCGGUCUCCUCCUAAAGAGUAACGGAGGAGCACGAAGGUUGGCUAAUCCUGGUCGGACAUCAGGAGGUUAGUGCAAUGGCAUAAGCCAGCUUGACUGCGAGCGUGACGGCGCGAGCAGGUGCGAAAGCAGGUCAUAGUGAUCCGGUGGUUCUGAAUGGAAGGGCCAUCGCUCAACGGAUAAAAAGGUACUCCGGGGAUAACAGGCUGAUACCGCCCAAGAGUUCAUAUCGACGGCGGUGUUUGGCACCUCGAUGUCGGCUCAUCACAUCCUGGGGCUGAAGUAGGUCCCAAGGGUAUGGCUGUUCGCCAUUUAAAGUGGUACGCGAGCUGGGUUUAGAACGUCGUGAGACAGUUCGGUCCCCUAUCUGCCGUGGGCGCUGGAGAACUGAGGGGGCUGCUCCUAGUACGAGAGGACCGGAGUGGACGCAUCACUGGUGUUCGGGUUGUCAUGCCAAUGGCACUGCCCGGUAGCUAAAUGCGGAAGAGAUAAGUGCUGAAAGCAUCUAAGCACGAAACUUGCCCCGAGAUGAGUUCUCCCUGACUCCUUGAGAGUCCUGAAGGAACGUUGAAGACGACGACGUUGAUAGGCCGGGUGUGUAAGCGCAGCGAUGCGUUGAGCUAACCGGUACUAAUGAACCGUGAGGCUUAACCUUACAACGCCGAAGGUGUUU